GUCCUAAAAACAAUUGCAUUUAAGUUAAUUUCAAAAAUUCUAAACAUAAAUAAUUUAAAACCCCUCUAUAAUUACAAAAUACACUAUAACUAUAGAAUUAAAAUAAACUUUGAUUAAUUUAUAACAGCCACAUGAAGACAACUCUUAAUUGCAAAUUAUGGUUUAAGACACAUGAAGAUAAUCUAUUUUCAACUUCAUCAACAACAUUUAACAAUCAAAUUUUAAUUAAUACAUCACUGAUCCAUGUAUAAGGCUAUUGUGGCAAAUGCAGCCAUGAUCCAAGUUUCCCUGAAUGCAUAUGAACCGCUGAAGUUCUCCAAACAUAGAAGGCUUCCUAUUGGAGAGAUAGGAAGUAAAACAAUUAAUGUUAUUUUCUGCAAAAUAUGCAAGUGUCUUUUGUUAAUGAUCUUUUUUUUUUAUGUUGCACUGAGAUGUCUAAGCAGCAGCUUAGCCCUUUUUAUAUGAAUGAUCUGGAUGUUAUUUUGUUAUUUGCUAUCAAAUGAGCAUAUGAUUGAUGUGCAAACAAUUUUGGAAGACCAGUGGAACUAUCAGAUGUAUGACUUGGAGCUAAACUUGUACAUUUAUACAUAAGUCUCUCUUCAAGCUCCACACCAAGAUGUAGAAAUUGUGCUUAACUGUCUAAUCAAGUAAUGAUGAAUGUUUAAAUAUCUUAUCUUAUCCGAGACAUUUUAAUAUCUUUUCUAGUCUAUAGAUCAAACAUUGGAUCACAUUUUUUCUUUCUUUCGAUUUCCCAUACUAAUUAAUUUUUGUCAAACCUACUAUAUGUCAUUAACUUCAUUAGAAGCUCACCAUAUUCUCUGUCUAUUUAUUUGAACUCUGUUUUUUCCAUGCUCAAAUCACCUUUUGUAAAAACAUAUUUCAUUGGAGCUUGCGAUCUCAUGCUAGUCGAGGAUUGAGAAGACACUUGCUUGCCCUGUUUCCCAUGGACAAUAGGGAUUGAGACUUCAUAAAUUUGUGCUCUUGGCUUAGAGCUUGCUCAAAGGUAAGUGUCAAAUCUUUGCCAUGAAGGUCAUCGUAAUCCAUAAUAUCAUCAUCUGUCAUCAAGACUUUCUCACAGUCCACAAAUGACUGCCUAUUUUCUCCCGUCAUGACUAUGUCUUCAAAAUUGUCUGGAAACAUGUCUUCCCAAGUUGGUGGGACAACUUCAUCAGUAAACAAGUUGUCUUCUCCUUUCGGAAUUACAGGAGGUUCUACCACAUCAUUUGUUUCACCAUGCGGUGGAAUAGGAAGUCCAAACCAAUCCUCAAUGGUCGGACGUGGAAGAGAAGAGCCACCAACAAUGCUCACUUCAUCAGUAAUCUCUCAUUCCUCAAUCAAAUUGAUUUAGUUAUGUUUUCUACUUUUGAUUUGAUAAUAAAACCAAUAUUUGUGCAUUUUGUUAUCUUGAUUUGACAAAUUAGUAUAGAUUUUAGUUUAUUCAUAAACUUUCCAGUUUUGAUUUUUCAAUGGAGAUAAAAAAGAAGUCCAAACCAAUCCUCAAUGGUCGGACGUGGAGGAGCAGAGUCGCCAACAAUGUCCACUUCAUCAGUAAUCUCUCAUUCCUCCAUCAAAUUAAUAUAGUUAUGUUUUUACUUUUGAUUUAAUGAUAAAAUCGAUAUUUGUGCAUUUUGUUAUCUUGAUUUGACAGGUUAGUAUAGAUUUUAGUUUAUUCAUAGACUUUCCAUCUUUGAUUUUUCAAUGGAGAUAAAACAAAAGUCCAAACCAAUCCUCAAUGGUCGGACGUGGGGGAGCAGACCACCAACAAUGCUCAUUUCAUCAGUAAUCUAUCCUUUCUCCAUCAAACCAAUUUAGUUACGUUUUCUACUUUUGAUUUGAUGAUAAAUCCAAGAUUUGUGCAUUUUGUUAUCUUGAUUUGACAGACUAAUAUAGAUUUUAGUUUAUUCAUAAACUUUCCAGCUUUGUUUUUCAAAUAAACGAAAUGAUCAACAAGCUUGGAUAGACUCAACGCGUAAAAUUUAGCAAUGGACCGACCAAAGAGGUUUAAACCAACUUUACUUAAACUAGGUGUUCCGUCUGCGCAUGCGGGCAUAAACAUUCUAUAGCUACUUAUUAAUACAUGUAUAAUUAAUUUAAAAGCUAUAAAAUAAAUUACUAUUUAUGUUUUCAUUGGAAGAUUCUUACCUAUUACAAAUGAUUUUUGAAUUAUUCAGAAAAUUUCCAGCCAUGAUUUUCUCAAAUAAACAAAAUGAUCAACAAGCUUGUAUAUAUUCCACCUGUCAAAGUAACGGUGGGCCGACCAAAGAGAUUUAAACCAAUUUUACUUAAAUUAGGUGUUCCGUCUGCGGAUACGGACAUGAACAUUUUAUAAUCAUUUAUUAAUACAUGUAUUAUUCAUUAAAAACUAUUAAAAAAUUACUAAUUAUGCUUUUAUUUGAAAACUUUUAAGUAUUAUAAAUUUUUAUCUUUUUUAUUAAAAGAUAUGUUGGAAUUAUUCAGAAGUUUGAUUUUUUCAAAUAAACGGAAUGAUCAACAACAAGCUUCGAUAUACUCCACAUGUCAAAGUUAGCGUAGUGCCGGCCAAAGAGGUUUUAAACCAAUCUUACUUACAAAAAAAUUAAAUGUUAAAGUUUUUGUAAAGUAUAUUUAAGAGUAAUCUAUAAUGUUAUGGAGAUUUGUAGAAUACUUAAUAGUGAAGUUACUUAAGGAGUAAGUUUAAAAAGGAGGUGUAAAGAAGUCUAGAGAAUUAUAUCUCAACUGUUGAUUCGGUUCGAUCUACACCGUCCGUUGACCAGGUGGAACUUGUAUAUAAAGGAGUGAUGCCCUCAUUUGUAAGAUAUCAAGCAAGUCAUAUAAAGGAGUGAUACUAUCAGGGAUAAUGAGAGAAGAUGAUUCCAAUUGGUUCGCAGGAUGGGAGAAAGAGCUUCCGUCACAGCUCCAGCUCCCGUCUUCACAAGCCAAUUCACGAGUCGUCUGGUCGCAGCAGCUACACGAACGCUUCCUCGACGCGGUGGAGCACUUCGGGAUCAACCAUGCAGUUCCCAAAAGUAUUAUGGAGUUCAUGGACGUCGAUGGGUUAACCAGAGUGGAAGUCGCGAGCCAUUUGCAAAAAUACAGGCUUUAUCUCCAGAAGAUGCACCAUCUGAUGCAUGCAGGCGUAGGAUCUAUUAGUUGAUUGUGAUUUAAGUCUUUUCUAUCUUUGUAUAAAUAGUGAGCUCUUGUCUUUGUAAGAGUCUCAUUUUCAUUGAAUUAUUAAUAAAUAAGCUUUUGCAUUCUUAAACUCUACUGUAACUUGCACACUUAUGGUUGCAAAAAUGGAUCGAUAUUGGUUAGAAUA